rnacentral:rRNA from 1 species
UACGGAGGGAGCUAGCGUUGUUCGGAAUUACUGGGCGUAAAGCGCACGUAGGCGGCUUUGUAAGUUAGAGGUGAAAGCCCGGAGCUCAACUCCGGAAUAGCCUUUAAGACUGCAUCGCUUGAAUCCAGGAGAGGUGAGUGGAAUUCCGAGUGUAGAGGUGAAAUUCGUAGAUAUUCGGAAGAACACCAGUGGCGAAGGCGGCUCACUGGACUGGUAUUGACGCUGAGGUGCGAAAAGCGUGGGGGAGCAAACAGG